rnacentral:lncRNA from 1 species
UGCCUUGCCCAUGCAGUUUCUGCAGCCACUGCAGCUUGGGAGUGCAGGAGAGCCAGAUGGACCUGCACGAAGCUAGCGUGUAUAAAAGAAGUCAUCCGAAGGAGUCCAGCCAAAGCAGGAAGAGAGCUUUUGAGAAGUUGCCUGUGGAGUUUUAGAGGUGAUUCUUCCAGACCAAAGUACAUCAUGCUGACAGCUUUCAUAGAUGGCUUUUAUAGACAGCUCUCAAGGCCCUCUGAAUGGAACAGUGAAUGCAUGAAUCUAGGAAAAGUAAUCAUUAUAGUUCCUGGAAAUCAUUAAGUCCAUCAAAUGGAUGGAAAAUGGAUCCCAAGCCAAAGCCUGAUUUUGGAGUUAGGAACAUCUCCAAAGCAAACUCAAAAGUCCAUGUUUCA